CCCUUAGAUGUCCGGGGCUGCACGCGCGCUACACUGAAGGAAUCAGCGUGCUAAAACCAUUGUCGAAAGGCAUUGGUAAACCCAUUAAAAUCCUACGUGAUUGGGAUCGGGAAUUGUAAUUAUUUCCCUUGAACGAGGAAUUCCCAGUAAGUGUGGGUCAUAAGCUCGCGUUGAUUACGUCCCUGCCCUUUGUACACACCGCCCGUCGCUGCCCGGGACUGAGCCGUUUCGAGAAAAGCGGGGACUGCUGCUGUCGGGGCUUUCGGGCCUUGGCUUCGGUGGAAACCGCUUUAAUCGCAGUGGCUUGAACCGGGCAAAAGUCGUAACA
rnacentral:rRNA from 1 species